rnacentral:rRNA from 1 species
GGGUUGUGAGGUUAAGCGACCAAGCGUACACGGUGGAUGCCCUGGCAGUCAGAGGCGAUGAAGGACGUGCUAAUCUGCGAAAAGCGCCGGUAAGGUGAUAUGAACCGUUAUAACCGGCGAUGUCCGAAUGGGGAAACCCAGUGUGACUCGUCACACUAUCAUUAACUGAAUCCAUAGGUUAAUGAGGCGAACCGGGGGAACUGAAACAUCUAAGUACCCCGAGGAAAAGAAAUCAACCGAGAUUCCCCCAGUAGCGGCGAGCGAACGGGGAGGAGCCCAGAGCCUGAAUCAGCAUGUGUGUUAGUGGAAGCGUCUGGAAAGGCGCGCGAUACAGGGUGACAGCCCCGUACACAAAAGCGCAUAUGCUGUGAGCUCGAUGAGUAGGGCGGGACACGUGGUAUCCUGUCUGAAUAUGGGGGGACCAUCCUCCAAGGCUAAAUACUCCUGACUGACCGAUAGUGAACCAGUACCGUGAGGGAAAGGCGAAAAGAACCCCGGCGAGGGGAGUGAAACAGAACCUGAAACCGUGUACGUACAAGCAGUGGGAGCCUCUCUUUAUGGGGGGUGACUGCGUACCUUUUGUAUAAUGGGUCAGCGACUUAUAUUCUGUAGCAAGGUUAACCGCAUAGGGGAGCCGAAGGGAAACCGAGUCUUAAUUGGGCGUUAAGUUGCAGGGUAUAGACCCGAAACCCGGUGAUCUAGCCAUGGGCAGGUUGAAGGUUGGGUAACACUAACUGGAGGACCGAACCGACUAAUGUUGAAAAAUUAGCGGAUGACCUGUGGCUGGGGGUGAAAGGCCAAUCAAACCGGGAGAUAGCUGGUUCUCCCCGAAAGCUAUUUAGGUAGCGCCUCGUGAACUCAUCUCCGGGGGUAGAGCACUGUUUCGGCUAGGGGGCCAUCCCGGCUUACCAACCCGAUGCAAACUGCGAAUACCGG